GACGAACGCUGGCGGCGUGCUUAACACAUGCAAGUCGAACGGAAAGGCCCUGCUUUUGUGGGGUGCUCGAGUGGCGAACGGGUGAGUAACACGUGAGUAACCUGCCCUUGACUUUGGGAUAACUUCAGGAAACUGGGGCUAAUACCGGAUAGGAGCUCCUGCUGCAUGGUGGGGGUUGGAAAGUUUCGGCGGUUGGGGAUGGACUCGCGGCUUAUCAGCUUGUUGGUGGGGUAGUGGCUUACCAAGGCUUUGACGGGUAGCCGGCCUGAGAGGGUGACCGGCCACAUUAGGACUGGGCUGCGGCCCAGACUCCUACGGGAGGCAGCAGUGCGGAAUAUUGCACAAUGGGCGGAGCCCUAAUGCAGCAACGCCGCGUGGGGGAUGACGGCCUUCGGGUUGUAAUCCGCUUUCGCCUGUGACGAAGCGUGAGUGACGGUAAUGGGUAAAGAAGCACCGGCUAACUACGUG
rnacentral:rRNA from 1 species